UUAGCUGGAUUCUUUUUUUUUUUUUUUUAAUGUUUAUUUAUUUUAGAGAGAACACACGAGCAUGAACAGGGGAGGAGUAGAGAGAGAGGAGAGAGAGAAUUCCAAGCAGGCUCUGUGCUGUCAGCAUGGAGCCCAGCAUGGGGCUCAAUCUCAUGAACUGUGAGAUCAUGACCUACACCAAAAUCAAGAGUAGGACGCUUAACCGACUGAACCACCCAGAUGCCCUGGAUUUUCUGGAUUCUUAAAAGAUUUUAUCUGAAUAGGUCUGUUUAUAAAAUUGUCUUUCUGUGUUCUGAGUGACUAUGUUACUUUAAUACAAAAUAAAACAAAAUUCUCAAAACUCUAGUUCAUGUACCUAGUACCAGUGUAAUAUCUCACAGACUAGAGGGUAAAUGGACUUGAGACAAAUGUUAAAACCUGACUUUGGGGAUGGGGCUGGGAAAUAAAGUCCAUUUUAGUAAUAGAUUUUUAUCUUUAAAUUGGGUAUUUGCUUGGUUACAAGAGGAUUAAUUGUAAGAAUCUCUUUCUCAAGUAGUCUCAGCUUGAACAGAUAAAUAUAGAGCACCAGUGUUGGGAGAGGGAAUGCUGUAGAAAAUGUGUGGGUAGCUGUUGUAGUUUUACAUAGCAGAUAACAUCUAGGAUAAAGAAUAGAUGAAAAUGCUCAUUGAGGAUUAGUGUUCUUGAAACAUCAUCAAAUACAACAUUCCCAGGCCUACCAUUCACAGCCAUUCAUAAUCUUGCCCAUCCUGCGUAUCUAAGAUAUUUCCCACUGAGCUCAACACACUUUUCUUCAAUCUUGUAUUUCUGUGUUUGCCACACUAUUCCCAGUGCCAUUCAUUUGGUCUCAUCCUUUAGAAGGCAUGUGUUUCCCCUUCUGCACCCCUGCAGAAAGAUGGAUUCUAGUUUAUCUUUUCAGUACUCAAGUGCCGUCUUCUUCAUGAAGUGUCUCUGACCUCUCUAGUCCACAUUGAUCCUUUUUUUCGUUCUUAACUCCUACAGCAGUGAUACUUUCACUUUCUUCCAGCUGGUUCCUGACUUUACAUUUAUGUAGCAGUAAACAACUUUUUGAGUUUUUAUUGAGUGCCUCUUGCAUAUGCAGCACUACUACUCUAAAUACUGGGUCUAAAGGGUGAAGACAGAAAAUGUCCCUGUCCUCAUGGAGUUUAUAUUCUUGUGGGGAGAGACAGCCAAUAAAUAAAAUAACUAGCGAGAAAACAUCAGACAGUAAGAAUCUUAUGAGAACAUCUGUGAAGAAUGAAUCAGAUACCUUAGUUGCAAGUGGUGGAUCCCAUUCUAGUUAGUUAAAGCAGAGGAAAAAAAAUUAAGGGUAUUACAUAGCUCAUAGAUUCUUUAGGGGAAAGUGGAGAAUCGUUUUGGAGACUGCUUAGUUAGGAACAAUGCCUAAAUUAUAACACUGGGCUCCAUCAUUGGAGAUAUUACUUCUUUUGUCGCAGAACAGGUAUUGGAAUUUGCAUGUCUGUGCUGAGUAUGAGAUGUAACUGCUAGGACAUCUGUCAUUUCGCCUUCCGAAAGGAAGGUAUAUCUCUCUGAAAUAUACUUCAGAAUAGACUAAACAUGGUGUCUCCAUUAUAUCACUUGCUUUCUAACUGAAAUAUCAUGUGAGUGUGUUUGGUUGGGAGAACGUAGGUCACAUACCCACUUCCUGUUUACAGAAGAGGCUGAGGAAGUGAAUUUCUGACUUAUGUUUUGGGAAGGCACGACUUAGGAGAUGAGAAAUUUUCCAAACAAGGAAAGCGGUUUAAAGGUACUAAGUAGUUAUAAACCAUGGAAAAGUUGAUAUGGUAGAGAGUGAUUGCAGGGUUAAUUUGGAUUUGAGUAGUCAGAGAAAGCCACUCUGAGGUCAAGAAACUUAAGCUCGGCCCUAAAUGACAAGGACAAGUCCAUGUAACAUUAAGGGUGGGGAAUAUUUUAGUAGGGUGGACCAGUCAAAGGCCGUGGUUUGGAAUUGGGAUGGGGGUCUGAGGCACAGGAUGGUGAAUGAGUUUGGCCUGUUGGAGGAACAGCAGGAUGGCUGAUGUUGCUGUAGUGUGGUGAGUGAGAAGGAGUGUAGAUGAGAUUGCAAAGGAGAGGAUAUUUUUGUUUUGUUUUGUUUUGUUUUACCAGAAGUGUGAAGACACUCAUCUUACUUUUUCUUCCCCUGAGAUGUCCUGUUGAGAGUGGGGAUGUAAUUAUAGGUGUGGAGAAAGGGAGGAUAUUUCUGUGUUAUUAAACCCACGAGCUCUUGGAUAUUAUGGAGUGACUAAAAUUAUUUAUAUACUGUUUAGGAGGAGAAGAGUGUGAGGUUUCUAGCAAAGAUAAGAAAUAUCUCUGCAUGUCCAGUGAGUAGUGGGAUAAAGCCUUCUGUUUUCAUUCCAGUGCCUCAAUCUAGCGAGCCUUGAAAGAAAUCCUUCUUUAUUCCUCUUACCUUGAUGUACAGGAACCAUGUUUUGUGUGGUUAUGAUGAUUUGUAUUGCACUAGCUCUUGGGACUGCUUCAGAAUAACAAAAGACUCCAGCCUCAAGUCUGCAUUGAUAGAUCUUUCCUAUUAAAGAAUUGCAUUAUAUAAUGAAGUGAUAGAAAACUGUUUUCUAGUCUUUUUUUAGAAAUCAACUCCACAAAUAAAUGAGAUAAAUUUGCCUUGGAAUGCAGAACAAUUGCUACUCUGAAUCAAGUAAACUCUGCUUUAUGCUCACUCUCUUUUACAUUUUCCACUUCCUAUUCAAACUGGAACAGAUAGUCCUUAUGUGUCUAAUAUGCUCCUACUGCACAGGGGUGUUUGGACUUUAGAUGGACUAAUGUGACUAUAGGUGGUAAUAUUCUAUGCAGAGUUUCUCAACCUUGGCACGACUGAUACUUUGUAAGAUGAUUCUUUGUGAAAGGGGGACUGUCCUGUGCAUUGUAACAUGUUUAGUGGCACCCCUCCCCAUUUGUGAUAACAAAAAAAAAUAUCUUUAGACAUUGCCAAACAUCCCUGGUUGAGAACCGCUGCUCCAACUCUAGCUUUUUGGCUUUCUUUUAAAACUCAUCCUAUUUGUCCUUUCUAAUGGUAACUGAUGACCAUACUUGUAGGUGCUCUGCAGAGAUUACAUCCAUUUGAACAGUUUCUAAAUAUGAUUAUCCUACAUGUGCAGGGACUUUUAACAUAGUUUGAAAAUGAGAAGACAAAACCUCUUUCCCUUAUGUGUAUAUCCAAUGGACAUUUCCGAUACUACUUUAGUAAGAUCAUAUAAGAAAAUGUGAAAGUGCACCGUGGGUGAUAUUAAUGGAUGUUAACGGCUGAGGCCGCAGUAACUAUUUCACCCUUUCCCUAUUGUGCAGCUGUAGUAUGGCUUCUGAAUUUGACACUUGCCUCAUGUGUGAGCUAUGAUUAGCCUCAGCCAGUGGUUUUGAAAUGGCCAAACAUGACCUAUUAAAGGGUCAGAAAAUCAAUUUAGUAGAGUGGCAACCAACUUAAAAAAUACUAAAUGUAAUAUAAGAAAAUAUCAGAGUGCAUUGUGUAUAGUAAGACUAUUGUUUCACAGAAUAUUUGUUAGCUUGUCUGAAUAUGUGUCUACGUACGUGUAUGAGUCUUGAUGUAAAAUAUAUUUCUUAACACGGCUUGCAUUUGAAAGAGUUAAAAAGCCAUUGGUCUAAGCCAAUCAUAAUUCCAUUCCCCUUGCUGGUGGUUGGUUCAGGAGCCCCAGUUUAAGCCAGUCUAUACAUGGAAUUCCUCUGGUAGCAGUAAAUUGAUUCUGGGAUGGGCACAUUGGCCCCCUCAACCUGAAAGAAAAGGCCCUGGAUAAGAGAGCCUUCAUUCUUCUACUUCAUGAGUUCAGAGAAGCCUGCAAAUCGAAUUGCUACUGGCUGCCAUCUCAAAACCACAGGAAUGUGGGGCGCCUGGGUGGCUCCGUGGGUUAAAUGUCUGGCUGCUAAACUAUUUUUUAAAGUGCACCACUUGGGGUGCCUGGGUGGCUCAGGUCAUGAUCUGGCAGUCGUGAGAUUGAGCCCCACAUGGGGUUCUGCACUGACAACGUUGAGCCUGCUUGGGAUUCUCUCUCUCUGCCCCUCCCUUACUUCCUCUCUCUCUCUCUCUCUCUCUCUCUCUCUCUCUCUGCCCCUCCUUUACUUCUUCCCUCUCCUUCCCGUCCUCUCUCUCUCUCUCUCUGCCCCUCCCUUGCUCCCCCCCCCUCUCUCUAAUAUAUAAACAAACAUUUUUAAAAAAGACAAUCCUAUCAGUAAUGAAUGAAGGUUAUAGUUUCCUUGCUCCUCACCAAUACUUGUUAUUGUCUUUUUUAUUGUAGCCAUCCUAGUGGGUGUGAAGUGGUAACUCAUUGUGGUUUUAAUCUGCAUUUCCUAAUGACUAAUGAUGUCAAACAUACUUUGAUGUGCUUAUUAGUCAUUUGUAUAUCUUCUUUGGAGAAAUGCCUAUUCAAAUCCUUAGCCCAUUUUAAAUCAGGUUGUCUUUCUGUUGAGUUGUAAGAGUUGAGGCAUCUUUUUUAAGCUUUUCUUUAUUUCAUUAUGAAUCUAUCAUUCAUUCAUUUUUCAAAUUGAUAACUCAGAGUCUUUUUUUAAAUGUUUAUUCUUGAGAGAGAGAGAGAGAGAGAGAGAGAGAAAGAGAGAGAGAGAACAAGCAGGGAAGAGGCAGAGAGAGGGAGACACAGAAUCCGAAGCAGGCUCCAGGCUCUGAGCUGUCAGCACAGAGUCCGACAUGGGCUCGAACUCACAAACUGUGAGAUCAUGACCUGAGCCGAAGUCGGACGCUUAACUGACUGAGCCACCCAGGCACCCCUCAGAGAGUUUUUUUUCCAAAGAAGGCAGUCAUGUGCCCUUUUCAGUAUUCUUUAGUUUUUUUAAGUAUUGGUCAUAAAGGGAGUAAAAGUCAUGUUGUUAAAAAAUUGAAAUGGAAGUUGUUGAUGUAUGAAGACAGAUAAGUGGAAGAAAUUGCAAAGGGCUACUAAUAUAGAUCAAAUGUGAUAGGAUCUGGUAAAUGGAAUUAAAUCCCUUUAAUUCCUAUGGAAAUUUGAGCAGGAAAACCACAGCUACUAAACGUGUCGAACAAAGGCUGUUGGCUUCUGGAACACUCCUUAAGCACUCUCUCUCACCAGGUUUUAAGAAAUAUUUGUACCUAGUAUUGCAAGGUUUUGCACAUAACAUUUAGAUUAUAUAUUUGUUUUACCCUCCCUCAAAAGGAAUUUGGGCAUUCAAAGAAUUCAUAACUGGUUUAACUGGAUCGUGAGAAUGGUUUACGUAGCUGUCAUAUGUGCCAUGUUUUGUAGUCAAAUGAAGGCUACUGUUAAAUAUAUUCUUAGCUUGAUUAAAUUAUAGGAGGGAGCUUCCAUGAGACCAAAUUGCUCUUUUGAUUUUUUUCCUUACAUUUAGUGGGUUUAAUAUGGAUGUAAUCUUUUGGUAAGAGCAUUUAUACUCUUUAUUAAUUUUAUAUUUAUUGAUAUUAAAUGGAAAACUAAAAUAGAAUCUAUAAGGAGUGCUGAGAGAAAGGUAGAAGAGUUGAAAAGAGCACAGGCUUUGGUGCCAGACUAGGUUUCAAAAUGUACCAUUUCCUCCUUGGGUGACCUUGAACAAACCACCUUAAUCUCUCUCUCUUUUUUUAAAUUUAUUUUUGAGACAGAGAGAGACAGAGCAUGAGCGGGGGAGGGGCAGAGAGACAAAGAGACACACACACACACACACACACACACACACACAGAAUCAGAAGCAGGCUCCAGGUUCUGAGCUGUCAGCUCAGAGCCCAACGUGAGGCUUGAACUCACAGACUGUGAGAUCAUGCCUGAGCUGAAGUCAGAUGCUUAACCGACUGAGCCACCCAGGCACCCCCACCUUAAUCUCUUGAAACAUCAGUCUUCUCAUCUUUAAAAUGAGAUGGAUAAAGUCUACCUUGAAAGAUUGUGGUGAAGAUAAAAUGAAAUUGAUGUGUCUGGGUGGCUCAGUUGGUUAAGUAUCCAACUUUUGGUUUUGGCUCAGGUCAUGAUCUCACAGUUUGUGAGUUCGAGCUCUGCACUGGGCUCUGUGCUGACAGUGUGGAGCUUGCUUGGGAUUCUCUCUCCCUCUCUUUCUGUCCCUCCGGCAUCUCUCUCUCUCAAAAUAAAUCAACUUAAAAGAUAAAAUGAGAUAAUGUAUGAAAAGUAUAUAUAGGCUAGUGCUUCAUAGGCACUCAGUCAAUUUUACCUGGUGAAACAAUAUAUGUUUCAAAUAUACACACACACACACACACACACACACACACACACAUACACACACACAUAUGUAUAUAUAUAUAUAUUUGUGUGUGUAUAUAUAUAUAUUAUAUAUAUAUAUAUAUAUAAUAUAUAUAUUGGGUGAAAGGUGAAUUUAAAUAGUCUCAUUUAGCUUAAAUUGGAGCAUCUACUCAAUAUUGACAAGCCUUUCUGAAAAUGUAAUUUCACAGAAGGUAAACAAAGCAACCUGGGACCUAUUUUUUAAACUUAAGAACAUUUUUAAGUUUAUUUUUAAAAAUUUAUUUUGAAAGAGAAAGCGGGGGUGCAGAGAGAGAAUUCCAAGCAGGUUCUGCACUGUCAGCUCGGGCUUGAACUCACAAACCAUGAGAUCAUGACUAGAGCUGAAAUCGUGAGGCAGAUGCUUCACCCACUGAGCCACGCAGGCACCCCUUAAUUUUUUAUUAUAAUGGUAAAAUAUGCUUGUUGAAGAAAAUUUAGAAAUUACUUUGGAAGUUACAUUUAAAAAAUUUAAAAAGAAAUGGUUAUCUGUGAAUAGAGACUUACUGUGGGAAUGUGGUUCAAGAAGGAAAGAAAACCCUUAAAAGCACAUGGUGACAAUGUUAAUUGGAAAUUAUGAGUAAGAACCAGAGGAGGGUCCUUUAAAGACCGAUGCAUGCUGCAAAAGAGAUUCUUUGCUUUACUCAGAUCUAAAACAGACAUUUACAGAAGGCCAGUGAGGAGGGUAUAUACUCAAGAGUGACCUUGGAGUAUUAGCAGAAUGAGCUUAAAAUGAGAUGAGGCUUUGGGGAGCCUGGGUGGCUCAGUAGGUUAAGUGUCUGACUUUGGCUCAGGUCAUGGUCUCACAGUUGGUGAGUUUGAGCCCUGCAUCAGCUCUGUGCUGACAGCUCAGAGCCUGGAGCCUGCUUCGGAUUCUGUGUCUUCCUCUCACGCUGCCCCUCCCCAACUCACAGUCUGUCUCUCUUUCUCUUUCAAAAAUAAAUAUUCAAAAAAGUUUUUAAAAAGUGUGAUGAGGCUUCUAAAGUUACUAAGACAACAAAAACGUAUUUUAAAACUGUGGACUGAUGGGAAUAGGUAAGGAUAGGCUUGCUACUCUUAUUUAAUGGUGAUAAAACAGAUGGCAAUGAAAGCACAGCUUGCCUCCUGUUCACAUUUCCAGUGAAGAACCUCUUUUGACUUGAAGGAUGAAAAAUGACACCAAUAAAGGAUAGUCUAAGUCUGGGAAGGAGAAGAACCUACAAGGGAGCAUAGAAUUAUCCCAGAAAAAAAAAAAGUACGUGGUACUCAGAACUUUUUGUAUAUAUGAGAUUAUUUGUGGUCUUUGAGAAACCUUAGAAAACAAGAGAAGUACAGGACUGGCAAAUUGAAGAUAGGUCUUGUGAAAAAGAGGAGAAAGUACAUUUGUAGUUGAAAGAAAGACCAAUGAUAUAGGCAGGAUUCAAGAAUAGAUGAUUCAUUUUUUUUAAUGUUUAUUUAUUUUUGAGACAGAGAGAGACAGAGCGUGAGUGGGGGAGGGGCAGAGAGAGAGGGAGACACAGAAUCUGAAACAGGCUCUAGGCUCUGAGCUGUCACCACAGAGCCCGACGCAAGGCUCGAACCCACGAACCGUGAGAUCAUGACCUGAGCCGAAGUCGGACGCGUAACCGACUGAGCCACCCAGGCACCCCUCAAAGAGGGUUUUAAACAUUGUAAACCUUUUUCUAAAUAAGAUGUGAUAGUAGGAGUUGAGUGAAAUGCUGUAUCCGUGCUCAUAUAGUAGCCACUAGCCACAGGUGACCUGAAAUGUGCCUAGUUCAAAUUGACAUGCCCUGGAACUGUGAACGAUGGGAGGCCACUGAGUGCAAUGAUCAAGGAAAAGUUCUUGAGACAUUCUAUGGGUAAAAAGGUACUUUUAUUAUAGCACAGGGACAGGACCCAGGGGCAGAAACAGCUGUACUGAGAUUGUGAUGAGUGACUGGUUGUAUACUUCAGGUUUGUGGAGGGAAGGGGGCAGACAUAACAUAAGUUUCUAAGCAAUUUCUGUUUGUUGAAAGUAGAGUCUGCUGGACCUUGAAGAUCUGGCUAUUUGUGCAGAUGAGGUUGCUUUUAGUCUUUAAUGAAACACCAACAUUAAGGCAGCCAUGGUUCGUUCCUUAAGUAAAGUCACACUCUGCACGCCUUAGGGAUUUAUCAGUGAGCUGCAGGUCAUAAGGAGAUUUAAUUUUAGCUACCAUUCUCUUGCCUUGUUCUCCUCAUCAUAAAUUACAUGUCAGAUUAUUUACCUGUUGAAAUAAUAUUUUGGACAUGUUGUGUUAAAUAAAAAUAUGUUAUUAAAAUUAAUUUUACCUUUAAAAAGUGUUUAUUAAUGUGGCUACUUGACUAUUUAAAAUUACAUAUAUGGGGGCACCUUAGUGACUCAGUCAGUUAAGUGUCCAACUCUUGAUCUUGGCUCAGGUCAUGAUCUCUCACAGUUUGUGAGUUCGAGCCUAGAGUUGACGGUAUGGAGCCUGCUUGGGAUUCUCUCUCUCCCUCUCUUCCUGCCCCUCCCCCAUUUGUUCACAUGUGCAUUUGCUCCCUCUCUCUCUCUCUCUCUCUCUCUCUAAAUAAAUAAACUUUAUAUAUGUAGCUUACAUAAUUCUGUUGGAAGUUUUGGACAGCGCUGUGCUUUGAGUGUAUAAAUAGUUACUAAGAUAUUUUUGAAAAAAUUUAAAGUACUGGAUAUUUAACUAGGCUUAAAAUAAUUUCCUUGCAAACAGGUGGAGGGGAAAUGAGGAUUUUACAUCUCCCAAUUAAAUGGACUUAGAGCUAGGUAAAUAACUAUAGAAUUCAAAUAAAAAGAAUGCAUGUUUAAUGGUGGGAUAGAGUGACACAUUAACAGGAGACAGUGGGAAAAUGAUAGUAAUAGGCAGACACUAUGCUUUGCCAUCUUUUGUUUAGCAUUAAAAAAAUUUUUUUUAAUUAAACUUUUAAUUUUGAGGUAAUUGUAUAGACUCACAUGCAAUUGAAAGAAAUAAUGCAGUAAGAUCCAGUGUGCCCUUUAGCCAUUGGUAACAUUUUGUGAAACUAUAGGACACUAUCACAGGAUAUUGACAUUGAUAAAAUUCACAUUAAAAAAAAGUUCUGGUAUAUUUAAGUAUAUCUCUACACCCAACAUGAGGCUUGAACUUACUACCCCAGAGGUCAAGAGCCGCAUGCUCUACUGACUGAAGCAGCCAGGUGCUCCUACAGAUUGUAUUAGAUUUUCUCGGUUUUACUUCUGCUCAUUGAUUGAUUGAUUGUGUGUGUGUGUGUGUGUGUGUGUGUGUGUGUAUUUCAUUCUGUGCAAUUUUGUUACAUGUGUUGGCUUCUGUCUCCAACACCACAGUCAAGAUACAGAACAAGUCUGUUACCACAGGGAUCCUUCUUGUCCUCUUACAACUACAUUCAUCUUUUCUCUCCCCAGUCUCUAACCACUGGCAACAACUAAUCUGUUCUCCAUUUCUAUAGGUUUGUCAUUUCAGUAAUGUUAAAUGAAUGGAGUCCUAUAGUAGGUAUGUAACCUUUUGAAAUUGGCUUCUUUUCUGUCAGCAUGUAUCAAUAAUUCAUUCCUUUUUUCUUUAUUGUGGUAAGAUAAACAUAACAUAGUAUUUAUUUGAACCAUUUGUAAGUAUAUAAUUCAGUAGCAUUAAAUAUAUUCACAGUGUUGUGUAGCCAUCACCACUAACCCAUUACUGCUAUACCUAAAAUAUUUUCAUCAUCUCCCAAAAUACUCUGUGCCAGUUAAACAAUAACUUUCUCUCCUCGCAGCCCUUAGUAACCUCUAGUCUUCCUUCUGUCUCUAUGAAUUUUUCUAUUCUAGGUGCCUCACAUAAGAGUAAUCAUACAAUAUUUGUUCUUCUGUGUUUGGCUUAUUUCACUGAGCAAGGUGUUCUCAAGGUCCAUCCAUGUUGUAGCAUAUCUCAGAAUUUCAGUUCUUUUUAUAAGUUGAGUCAUAUUUCAGCACACAACAUUUUUAUUAAUAACGUGGAUGAAAUAUCGAUGAUUUGCUUUGCAAAUCCAUACAUGACUUGAAGCUGGCAAUGAUAAGUUGUAUAGUUAAUGUGUUAUUUUUUCAGAACAGAGAUUGAAAAUAGUUAUUUUAGACUGAAAUGGACUAAACCAAUCAAGCUUUAUUGACUACUGAUAAGCACAAAGUUCUACAUAUGAUUCUAAAAAUAAGUGUUACUGGGGCACCUGGGUGGCUCAGUCAGUUGAGUGACUGACUUCGGCUCAGGUCAUGAUCUCAUGGUUUUUGAGUUUGAGCCCUGCGUCGGGCUCUGUGCUGACAGCUCGGAGCCUGGAGCCUGCUUCGGAUUCUGUGUUUCCCUCUCUCUCUGCCCCUCCCCCACUCAUGCUCUCUGUCUCAGAAAUAAACAUUAAAAAAAAUUUAAAAAGUGUUACUGUAGAUGAUUGUGAUGUAGUUUAACAGUAGAUAACAUGAAAAAUACUGGGGGUGGGAGUGGAGUGGUGGUGCAUGUUCAAUGUGAGUCCACAGUGUAAUUUGGGCUCUGUUAAUAGAAGCAUAGUGUCCAGAAUAAGUACUAUGAUUGUUUCAGACUACUGUGUUCAUUUCUGGGUACCUGAUUUUAUGGGUGCACAUUUAAAAACAGAUAUAUUCAAGACAGAAACUGGGAUGAUCUGACAGCAAGACAACAGCCACUCAGAUAGUCACGUCCUAGUCUAAGGAUUUGUUCAAGUCGAGUCUGGCGAAACAUUUGGCAGGGACAUUGUAAAAAGUGUUUUAGUACUUUUAGGAGAGUGGGGAUGGAGAAGAUGCUCUGUUAUACCUAUUAUCUUUGUAGCUCUUCAGCCCUGAGGUUUGGUAAUUAUAGAGCAUUGUAGACCACUGGGGUCUAAACUGUUGACAGUGGUUGUCCCUGAAGGAUGAGAUUGCAGGGGACUGUCACAUUCCAUGUCAUGUAUAUCUGUGUUUAAUUUUAGUUUUUACAUUGAGUACAUACUGCUCUAUUUAAAAAAAGUUGGGGGGGGCAAAGGGGUAAAGAAAUAUUCUUGUUUUGCAUAUCAACAUAGUUUAAUACUUUAAUUCUAGAAAAUUAAAAAAUAACAGUGAAUUAAUAUAAACAUUUUUUGUGUUUAUAGCCCUUUGCAUGUAUUGAGAGAUGUGUAUACAAAUGGAGGUUGGAUAUAUGAAUAUCUUGUGCUUUUGGAAGAGUGCUUUGCUUAAUAUUUGCCUAUAUUCCUUUUAGUAGUUCUCUGGAUGGUGACAAUGAAAUUUAGUUGGGCUUUGUCAGAUUAUUCUACAUCCUCAGAUUUACCUCCAGUCCCAGGUUUGGAUUAUGAGAUAACUAAAAAAAAUUCUUCUGUUGGUACCAUAGAAGUGGUGUAGUUCAUACUCUUCAGUCAUGAGUUUGCACUCUCGGAGGUCUUAAGGUGGAACUGUGUCUUGGAGGUAAGAGCACAAAUUAAGACUGAUCACUAAUGUAAUAGCAGGAACUUUCUGUUAGAGCAGUAUAGAAACGUAAGUGGUAAAACAGAUGUGCAGAAACCUCAACUCAAGCAAUACUUACUUAAAAAAAAAAAAAAAAAAAAAAAAAAGAACCAA